UCGAACGAUUAAAGCUUCCCUUUCGGGGAAGUGCAUAAAGUGGCGCACGGGUGAGUAACACGUAAGUAAUCUACCUUCGAGUUGGGGAAUAACAGUCGGAAACGACUUGCUAAUACCGCAUAACGCAGCGGCAUCGCAAGAUGACAGUUGUUAAAGGAGCAAUCCGCUUGAAGAGGAGCUUGCGGCAGAUUAGCUAGUUGGUAAGGUAACGGCUUACCAAGGCUACGAUCUGUAUCCGGUCUAAGAGGACGGUCGGACACACUGACACUGAAUAACGGGUCAGACUCCUACGGGAGGCAGCAGUCGGGAAUUUUGGGCAAUGGGGGAAACCCUGACCCAGCAACGCCGCGUGAAGGAUGAAGUAUUUCGGUAUGUAAACUUCGAAAGAAUGGGAAGAAUAAAUGACGGUACCAUUUAUAAGCUCCGGCUAACUACGUGCCAGCAGCCGCGGUAAUACGUAGGGAGCAAGCGUUGUUCGGAUUUACUGGGCGUAAAGGGCGCGUAGGCGGCGCGGUAAGUCACUUGUGAAAUCUCUGAGCUUAACUCAGAACGGCCAAGUGAUACUGCAGUGCUAGAGUGCAGAAAGGGCAAUCGGAAUUCUUGGUGUAGCGGUGAAAUGCGUAGAUAUCAAGAGGAACACCUGAGGCGAAGGCGGGUUGCUAGGCUGACACUGACGCUGAGUGCGCGAAAGCCAGGGGAGCAAACGGGAUUAGAUACCCCGGUAGUCCUGGCCCUAAACGAUGAAUACUUGGUGUCUGGAGUUCUAAUACU
rnacentral:rRNA from 1 species